rnacentral:rRNA from 1 species
UACGAAGGGGGCUAGCGUUGCUCGGAAUUACUGGGCGUAAAGGGCGCGUAGGCGGAUGUUUAAGUCGGGGGUGAAAGCCCGGGGCUCAACCUCGGAAUUGCCUUCGAUACUGGACAUCUUGAGUACGGGAGAGGUGUGUGGAACUCCGAGUGUAGAGGUGAAAUUCGUAGAUAUUCGGAAGAACACCAGUGGCGAAGGCGACACACUGGCCCGUUACUGACGCUGAGGCGCGAAAGCGUGGGGAGCAAACAGG